rnacentral:rRNA from 1 species
CCCUAGCUUUCGUCCCUGCCGUCAGGUCCGUUCUGGUGAGACGCCUUCGCCACUGGUGGUCCUUCAAGGAUUACAAGAUUUCACCCCUACCCCUGAAGUACCUCUCACCUCUCCCGGCCUCGAGCCGAACAGUAUCUCCUGAAAGCCCAACAGUUGAGCUGCUGGAUUUCUCAAGAGACUUAUCCGGCCGGCUACAGACCCUUUAGACCCAAUAAUAACGGUUACCACUCGAGCCGCCGGUGUUACCGCGGCGGCUGGCACCGGUCUUGCCCGGCCCUUGCUAUGCAAUGCUUUUUAUGCAUCACGACAGCCAGAUUUGUAACCUGGCGCUCGAGGUCCCCUUAUCGCCGUUGCCGGCAUUGUAAAGUUUUCGCGCCUGCUGCACCCCGUAGGGCCUGGAUUCGUGUCUCAGAAUCCAUCUCCGGGCUCUUGCUCUCACAACCCGUACCCGUCGUAGGCUAGUAGGUACGCUACACCCACUACUACCUGAUAGGCCGCAGACCCAUCCUCUGGCGCCGGAGCUUUCGAUCUCGGGGCAUUCCAGCGACCGAGAUCUAUCGGGGAUUAUACCCAGUUUCCCGGGUUUAUACCCGUCCGGAGGGUAGGUUGUCCACGUGUUACUGAGCAGUACGCCAUGUAUUGCUACAUUCGACUCGCAUGGCUUAGUCGAACCUCGAUAGCAGUAACCUCCGCCGGGAUCAACCGGAUAAGGGAGAAUUCCAGCACACUGGCGGCCGUACUAGUGG